AUCAAUGAUGAGAAAACUACACGAGCCAAAAUGUGUUAAGUAUGAUACAACACAUGAUUGUUAAUGAUAGGCCUGAUUU
rnacentral:snoRNA from 1 species